CUGAACACAUAAACUUACAAGUGUUCAGAUGGGCACAUGUGGCCGGUGUGUGUGUGCGGCUCGCGGUAAGGAUCGAAGGGCCACUGGUGUCAGACUCUACCGUCAAUGAAAGCUGAUGUGUCACGAGUGAAUAUUUUACAACACAUGAUUAUUACGAGUGAUAAAAUAACUAAAAUCUAACAGAAGAAAUAUAUACUGAACAAAAAAGAAUAA